AUGGUUUUUAUUGCACUAUACAUAUAUUUAUUAUUAUAAUUCAUGGCAAGGAAAGUGCCGAAUGUGAAAUUGAUCUUGAUGAACUUAAUGACUACUUUAUUAGUGUUGACUGUUAAUAUCAACAUAAGUAGCGCGAGGACUUAGAGCCUUGUAGAGCUCGGCAAAGUUGGGUCGCUCCUCCGCAUUCUCAUCCCAGCAUUGCAACAUCAUAGCGUAAACCUGAUCGGUGCAUAUUUCUGGUUUCUCCAGUCUUUUGCCGGACAACAAAUACGGGAUUAGUUCGUGAUUGCUGAUGGUCGGAUAUGGCGAGGCGCCCAGGGUGCCUAUCUCCCACAAAACGACGCCAUAUGCCCACACGUCGCUUUUGUUCGAGUAAACAUUGUCACGAAUCGCCUCAAUGGAUAGCCAACGCAAUGGCAGCUUUAAUUGCGAAUAGGUAAAUUUGAAUAUGCAUUAUUUUUUUCAUUUACGCAAUAAAAUCUCAUAAAUGCGAA